CGGGAUGUAGCGCAGCCUGGUAGCGUACUCGCCUGGGGGGCGAGGGGUCGUGGGUUCAAAUCCCGCCAUCCCGA
rnacentral:tRNA from 1 species